rnacentral:rRNA from 1 species
CGCUGGCGGCGUGCUUAACACAUGCAAGUCGAACGAUGAAGCCUAGCUUGCUAGGUGGAUUAGUGGCGAACGGGUGAGUAAUACGUGAGUGACCUACCUUUGACUCUGGGAUAAGCCUGGGAAACUGGGUCUAAUACCGGAUACGACCAAUCUCCGCAUGGGGUGUUGGUGGAAAGCGUUAUGGAGUGGUUUUAGAUGGGCUCACGGCCUAUCAGCUUGUUGGUGAGGUAAUGGCUUACCAAGGCGACGACGGGUAGCCGGCCUGAGAGGGUGACCGGCCACACUGGGACUGAGACACGGCCCAGACUCCUACGGGAGGCAGCAGUGGGGAAUAUUGCACAAUGGGCGCAAGCCUGAUGCAGCGACGCCGCGUGAGGGAUGACGGCCUUCGGGUUGUAAACCUCUGUUAGCAUCGAAGAAGCGAAAGUGACGGUAGGUGCAGAGAAAGCGCCGGCUAACUAC